AUGAGGCCAUUAAAGAAACACAGAGGGCGUUCUCCCCCGUUAACUAGAGGCAGAGGGGGGAGGAGGAGAGGGGGCUCUCAGCCUCCCCAAGAAAAGGACCCCAGAAGAGUCAAGAGGGAGACUCUUGUCAAAACCACACAAAGCACCCCUUCCAAACGCAAACACGGCCAACCCAACUCUGACAAAGAACCAAUCACAAAUAGCAAUACCCCCAUGAGGGAGGAGCCUACUGAACUGAGGAAACCUGUGGAGUCAGCUGAGAAUGAUGGAAAGCAAGCAGAAGAAAAGACAGAAAAGGAGAAGAUAGCAGGCACAAAUGGAAACAGUAUUAUGCCCGCUGAUUCUGUAGCAUCUCCUACCUCAGCCCCAGCGCCACUCACCACAGCUACACCCUCUAUAUCCACCAGUCACAGCCCCAGUUUAGGCUCAGUUUCUAGUAGGAAAACAGCCACAUUUAAGGCUCGUGUACCCAAAAAAAAAUACACAUAUGAGCACUUUGCCAACAGUGCGAGUGCUACAUCUACCAUUCCUACCUCCAGCCCUGCUCUCGUAAAUAACAGUUACUGCAAUAUCAACAGCAAAGUUAGUGAUAGUGUUAAUACUCCCAAUAACCAUUUCAAGACUAGUAACAGUGUUAGUAAUAGCAUUAAUAAAAGCACUAACAGUAGUACUAAUAGUAACGCUACAAGUGGUAUUAAUAAUAUGAGCAGUAACAGUUGUGCUGGGAGCCAUACUACUUUUAUCAAUAGCAGUAAUAGCAUAAGUAACAUUUGCUCAGGUAAUCAGCCAUCAGUGCUAACUGUGGACAGUAAAGCUACAGAAGCAAACCAUUUUGUCUCCAUGGAGGAUAAAACCCUCAGGACAGCAGAUUCCCAGGAAAAAGCGUCCCAGUCUGGGGAACAUGAGCCAGAGGGGGCCCCGAACUCUGUGCGCUCCUCCUCCACGGAUACAGCUAGUGAGCACUCAGCUGACCUGGAUGUGAUGGAAGCAUCAGGACCAAGUCUUCAUCAGAAGAACUACCACAUCCCAGCUCCUCUACACAACUCACACCCUAAAGAGCCCAAUCUGUCAGAGGGGCUAGCUGAAGCUCUGGCCAAAGGCAUGAAGAACCAGAGAGUCCUGGCUCGCUGUGUCACAAGUGGUGGUGAGGCUGUGAAUAGUGGACACUCACGCCCCCCGUCACAUGUUUUUAGACCAGGGGUGGUGCGUAGGGUGUGUGGGGGUACAGUUGAG
rnacentral:lncRNA from 1 species